AUUGAACGCUGGCGGCAGGCCUAACACAUGCAAGUCGAGCGGGGUUUUCGGACCUAGCGGCGGACGGGUGAGUAAUGCGUAGGAAGCUGCCCGAUAGAGGGGGAUACCAGUUGGAAACGACUGUUAAUACCGCAUAAUGUCUACGGACCAAAGUGUGGGACCUUCGGGCCACAUGCUAUCGGAUGCGCCUACGUGGGAUUAGCUAGUUGGUGAGGUAAUGGCUCACCAAGGCGACGAUCUCUAGCUGGUUUGAGAGGAUGAUCAGCCACACUGGAACUGAGACACGGUCCAGACUCCUACGGGAGGCAGCAGUGGGGAAGAUUGGACAAUGGGCGCAAGCCGGAUCCAGCCAUGCCGCGUGUGUGAAGAAGGCCUUCGGGUUGUAAAGCACUUUCAGCGAGGAGGAAGGGGUGUGUGUUAAUAGUACACACCUUUGACGUUACUCGCAGAAGAAGCACCGGCUAACUCUGUGCCAGCCGCCGCCGUAAAAC
rnacentral:rRNA from 1 species